GUCCCGAUAGCUCAGUCGGCAGAGCGCAAGACUGAAGAUCUUGAGGCCGCGUGUUCGAUUCACGCUCGGGACA